rnacentral:rRNA from 1 species
AUUGAACGCUGGCGGCAGGCUUAACACAUGCAAGUCGAGCGGGGUGAGGUGCUUCGGUACUGAUCCUAGCGGCGGACGGGUGAGUAAUGCUUAGGAAUCUGCCAUUUAGUGGGGGACAACAUUCCGAAAGGAAUGCUAAUACCGCAUACGUCCUACGGGAGAAAGCAGGGGAUCUUCGAACCUUGCGCUAAAUGAUGAGCCUAAGUCGGAUUAGCUAGUUGGUGGGGUAAAGGCCUACCAAGGCGACGAUCUGUAGCGGGUCUGAGAGGAUGAUCCGCCACACUGGGACUGAGACACGGCCCAGACUCCUACGGGAGGCAGCAGUGGGGAAUAUUGGACAAUGGGCGGAAGCCUGAUCCAGCCAUGCCGCGUGUGUGAAGAAGGCCUUUUGGUUGUAAAGCACUUUAAGCGAGGAGGAGGCUACCUGGAUUAAUACUCUAGGAUAGUGGACGUUACUCGCAGAAUAAGCACCGGCUAACUCUGUGCCAGCCGCCGCGGUAAGAC